rnacentral:rRNA from 1 species
ACGGGUUACGAUGAAUCAGUACGGCGAGUGAAGCGGCAAGAGCUCAAAUUUGAAAGCUGGCUCCUUCGGGGUCCGCAUUGUAAUUUGCAGAGGAUGCUUCGGGUGCAGCCCCCGUCUAAGUGCCCUGGAACGGGCCGUCAUAGAGGGUGAGAAUCCCGUAUGGGGCGGGGUGUCUGCGUCCGUGUGAAGCUCCUUCGACGAGUCGAGUUGUUUGGGAAUGCAGCUCUAAAUGGGUGGUAAAUUUCAUCUAAAGCUAAAUACUGGCCGGAGACCGAUAGCGCACAAGUAGAGUGAUCGAAAGAUGAAAAGCACUUUGAAAAGAGAGUUAAACAGCACGUGAAAUUGUUGAAAGGGAAGCGCUUGCAACCAGACUCGCUCGCGGGGUUCAGCCGGGCUUCGGCCCGGUGUACUUCCCCGCGGGCGGGCCAGCGUCGGUUUGGGCGGCCGGUCAAAGGCCUCCGGAAUGUAGCGCCCUUCGGGGCGCCUUAUAGCCGGGGGUGCAAUGCGGCCAGCCUGGACCGAGGAACGCGCUUCGGCACGGACGCUGGCAUAAUGGUUGUAAACGACCCGUCUUGAAACACCGGACCAAGGAUUCUUUUAUUUACGAGCGAGUUCGGUUGUCAAACCGUACGCGCAGUGAAAGCGACGGAGGUGGUAGCCCCCUCGCGGGGCGCACCAUCACCGAUCUUCCGUUUAUUAAAAUGCAAUUUG